rnacentral:rRNA from 1 species
GACGAACGCUGGCGGCGUGCUUAACACAUGCAAGUCGAGCGGAAAGGCUCCUUCGGGGGUACUCGAGCGGCGAACGGGUGAGUAACACGUGAGUAAUCUGCCCUUGGCUUUGGGAUAACUACCGGAAACGGUGGCUAAUACCGGAUACGACCACUCCUUGCAGGAGGUGGUGGUGGAAAGUUUUUUCGGCCAGGGAUGUGCUCGCGGCCUAUCAGCUUGUUGGUGGGGUAAUGGCCUACCAAGGCUUCGACGGGUAGCCGGCCUGAGAGGGUGACCGGCCACACUGGGACUGAGACACGGCCCAGACUCCUACGGGAGGCAGCAGUGGGGAAUAUUGGACAAUGGGCGGAAGCCUGAUCCAGCAACGCCGCGUGAGGGAUGACGGCCUGG